ensembl:lncRNA LOC120095179 uncharacterized LOC120095179
GGCGCACCUUUUCUCCCUCCUGCCACAAUGUGAGCGCUCAGCGGAGCAGAUAACCGCUGGCUGCCUGCUCCACCCCCGGCCCUCGCCCACUCCGCCUACUCCCGAGCGCCCAGAACUGGCAGACUGCUGACAUGGGAAGAGUAGCCACAACCACCACCAGGGCGAAGAUGUCUCUGGACUCAACUGAGAAGUUCAUCGAAGAGAAAGACUGACUUUCUCCACAGAGCCUUCUGAGAGCAGAGAACGUAUCCCAUGCACUGCACCAAGUCGCCCUCGCUUUAUAAACGCUUCACGAGUGCGUGACUGAUGGUGGAUCCCGGGAGCGCUUGUGGAGACUGCUGGGAUACUGCCUAUCACCAUCUCUCCUCCAGCACCCUACUCCAGCACAGCCUAUUCUGUGACCUACUUUCCCUUUAAGCCAGAAGAUGGUUCCAGGAACUGCUACUCUCUAAGUGACAGAUACCGGUGGAGAAUGAGCCUCAGCCUGCAGAUCAUUGGACCGCUCCCUUCCUUCUCCAGGGGGUGCCCAGUGGGCCAGAAUCCAUGUGUUUUGUAGGAUUCCACUCAACCCUUUACCUAAGUCAUCAGUCUGCCUUUGAUCUGUCUCAGCAAGCAGGGACACGUCUCCACGGGAAGCUGGUGUUAACAAAUGUACACACAACACACACAGAUGCACACAACACGCAGACACACACACACACCUUUCUCACUCUAUGAGCCAUUGUCUGGUCCUUUGCUCCUGGGCCUGACCCAUCUUUAUGAGAUCUAGGCUCUUCCUAUCCCGGGAUGCUGAAUCUGGCCUCCCAUGGGACAGAGUUGGGCACUUUGCACGUCUCCAGCCUUGCCCUCCCUUGGGGGCUUGUGAAGGAUCCACCCAUAUGGCAGAACCUUCCAGAGAGACUCGAAACUAGGAGCCUGACCUCAUGAUGCCCGAAGCACCUGGCACAGAGGGUACCAGCUCUGAUGUCCUGGCCCCAGCCCAGUUCUCUCUUCUAGAAUCCACACCUUCUCUGGCGCUCCUCCAGCCCUGCGAGAGCAGCCCCAGCUUAGCGAGAACGAGCAUGACCUUAGGAAGGACAUAGUACGAGGAGGAGGGGUCUCCGCUGAGGGACCUCACCAACUCAUUCACUGCUGGCGUGUCUCUCGGUUUCCCCUGGCGAAACCGCCCAUGCGUCUAUGAUUAUAAAGGAGCUCCGAACGGCCGGAAAACCCAAGUUAUGCCCUGUUCCCUUGCUGCCAGGAGCUACCUGCCCGCCCCACCCCUUGCUAGUUGCCCAGCCAGGCAGGGUCCUGCAGGAUGAAAGUUCCAAGAAGCCCGAGCAGGAAUAAUAAUGAUACUCAUCUGCAGUGGCGGCGGCGGCGGCGGCGGCGUCUUAGCCACCUGGGAACGCAGGGCCCCACGCCCUGUGCCUCACACCCCAGGACACUACAAGGGCUCCUUUCCCUAGAUUUUAUUACAGGGAUCCCACACUCUGCCAUUCCCAGCCCAACCCAUCCGAGUUUCCAAGAGCUUCAGUCUAGCCACCACCAGCCUCAUCCACCACCCAGGUUCCAUGGGAAGAUUUGGCUUAACAAGACCCAAGCCAACACAGGUGAAGGACGCCCAGCCUCUUGGAAACUUGGGUUCCAGGGUUUCUCAGAGAAGCAAUCCACCUGCCCCUGGCCCAGGGCACUUUCCCACAGACCCAUCUGUGUCUGGUCAGUACAAAGACCUGAAGCCUUGCAAGUGUCCAUCUGAGUCGCAAUUCCCAAGUCACCCACUCUAGGGCUCCAGACAAGUUUUAUUUUGAUUGUUACCCAGAAACUCUCCAAAGUUUGUAGUGUUUGCGAGUGAUGACCGGGAGGAGAGGGGAGCAGGGAGAGCGUCUCUCAUUUUUUUUUUUUUUUUUUUUUUUUUUUUUUUUUUUUUUUGCUUCUUUUUUUCCGGAGCUGGGGACCGAACCCAGGGCCUUGCGCUUCCUAGGCAAGCGCUCUACCACUGAGCUAAAUCCCCAACCCCGCAUCUCUCAUUUCUAAUACACAUUUGCAAUCC